GAUGAACGCUGGCGGCGUGCCUAACACAUGCAAGUCGAGCGAACAGACGAGGCUCUUGCCCCUCUGCCGUUAGCGGCGGACGGGUGAGUCACACGUGGAUACCCUGCCUAUAAGACUGGGAUAACUUCGGGAACCCUGAUACAGUACAGGAUAUUAUAUUGAACCGGAUGGUUCAUUGGUGCAAGCGGGUUUUGCUGUCCCUAAUAGAUGGAUCCAGGCCGCAUUAGCUAGUUGGUAAGGUAGAGGCUUACCAAGGCAACGAUGCGUAGCCGACCUGAGAGGGUGAUCGGCCACACUGGAACUGAGACACGGUCCAGACUCCUACGGGAGGCAGCAGUAGGGAAUCUUCCGCAAUGGGCGAAAGCUUGACGGAGCAACGCCGCGUGUGUGAUGAAGGUCUUCGGAUCGUAAAGCUCUGUUAUUAGGGAAGAACAAAUGUGUAAGUAACUAUGCACGUCUUGACGGUACCUAAACAGAAAGCCCCGGCUAACUACGUG
rnacentral:rRNA from 1 species